UGAGUACGAGAUGCUACGGCAUCGAAGCAGUCUAUGUCAUACUUCCAAGAAAAGCUUGCACUGUCAGAAACAGAUAAUGCCUGUACCAUAACCGACACAGGUGGGUAGGUAGAGUAUACUAAGGGGCGCGAGAUAACUCUCUCUAAGGAACUCGGCAAAAUGACUCCGUAACUUCGGGAGAAGGAGUGCCUUAUUUUUAAGGUUGCAAUAACAAGAUCCAAGCAACUGUUUACCAAAAACACAGGUCUCCGCUAAGUCGUAAGACGAUGUAUGGGGGCUGACGCCUGCCCAGUGCCAGAAGGUUAAAGAAGUCGGUUAGCAUUCGCGAAGCUGGUAACUGAAGCCCUGGUGAACGGCGGCCGUAACUAUAACGGUCCUAAGGUAGCGAAAUUCCUUGUCGGGUAAGUUCCGACCCGCACGAAAGGCGUAAUGAUUUGGAUACUGUCUCGGAGAGGGGCUCGGUGAAAUAGACUUGUCUGUGAAGAUGCGGACUGCCUGCACCUGGACAGAAAGACCCUAUGAAGCUUUACUGUAACUUGAAAUUGAAAUUGGACUUUAUUUGCGCAGUAUAGGUGGGAGGCGUUGAAAAUAUUCUUGCGGGAAUAUUGGAGCCAUCAGUGAGAUACCACUCUUGUAAUGUUAGAUUUCUAACUUUAUAUCAUUAUCUGGUUAAAGAACAGUUUCAGGCGGGCAGUUUGACUGGGGCGGUCGCCUCCCAAAUGGUAACGGAGGCGCACAAAGGUUUCCUCUGAACGGGUAGAAAUCGUAUCUAGAGUGUAAAGGCAUAAGGAAGCUUGACUGUGAGACCUACAAGUCGAGCAGGGACGAAAGUCGGUCUUAGUGAUCUGACGGUGCUGAGUGGAAAGGCCGUCACUCAACGGAUAAAAGUUACUCUAAGGAUAACAGGCUGAUCUCCCCCAAGAGUUCACAUCGACGGGGAGGUUUGGCACCUCGAUGUCGGCUCAUCGCAUCCUGGGGCGGUAGUACGUCCCAAGGGUUGGGCUGUUCGCCCAUGAAAGUGGUACGCGAGCUGGGUUCAGAACGUCGUGAGACAGUUCGGUCCAUAUCCGGUGUAGGCGUUAGAAUAUUGAGAGGAGCCUUCUUUAGUACGAGAGGACCGAGAAGGACAUACCUCUGGUGUACCAGUUAUCGUGCCAACGGUAAACGCUGGGUAGCUAUGUAUGGAGUGGAUAACCGCUGAAAGCAUCUAAGUGGGAAGCCCACCUCAAGAUAAGUAUUCUCAC
rnacentral:rRNA from 1 species